rnacentral:rRNA from 1 species
CAAUAGCGUAUAUUUAAGUUGUUGCAGUUAAAAAGCUCGUGGUCGGAUUUUGGCUGAGAACGAUCGGUCCGCCGUUAGGUGUGCACUGAUUGGUCUCAGCUUCCUGGUGAGGAGGUGUGCUUCACGGCCACUUAGUCACCGUGGUUACUUUGAAAAAAUUAGAGUGUUCAAAGCGGGCUUACGCUUGAAUAUAUUAGCAUGGAAUAACACCAUAGGACUCCUGUCCUAUUUCGUUGGUCACGGGACGGGAGUAAUGAUUAAGAGGAACAGUUGGGGGCAUUCGUAUUUCAUUGUCAGAGGUGAAAUUCUUGGAUUUAUGAAAGACGAACUUCUGCGAAAGCAUUUGCCAAGGAUGUUUUCAUUGA